rnacentral:rRNA from 1 species
UACGAAGGGUGCGAGCGUUGUCCGGAAUCACUGGGCGUAAAGGGCGCGUAGGCGGCCUGAUAAGUAGGGGGUGAAAUCCUGCGGCUUAACCGCAGGGCUGCCUUCUAAACUGUCAGGCUAGAGCACAGUAGAGGCAGGUGGAAUUCCCGGUGUAGCGGUGGAAUGCGUAGAGAUCGGGAAGAACAUCAGUGGCGAAGGCGGCCUGCUGGGCUGUUGCUGACGCUGAGGCGCGACAGCGUGGGGAGCAAACAGG